rnacentral:lncRNA from 1 species
AUAAAAAGUAUAUGAAUGUAUAUGAAAAUUUGUAUUUAAAUAAAUUCAAAAAUAUUAAUUUAUUAGAUGCUUCAUAAAUAAAAUUUGAAAUAUGUAGAUAAAUGCUUUUUAACAAGUAAACAUGGCUGCCACUAAUGCAUGCAUCAUCAGUUGACACAUGUAUUAUUGGAGAUUGCUAUAUUUCCAUUUAAUAAAAUGGAAAUACAAUGGUACCUCAACUUAUAAACUUAAUUCAUUCUGGCUACAGUUCAUAACUCAAAAAGUUUGUAUCUUGAAACUCAGUUUUUCAUUUUAUCUUAUGGGGAAAUCAAUUAAUCCAUUCCCAGAUUUAGAAAUUUUGAAAACAGUAAGAAAAUAUUCAUUUGUGUGCAAUUAUUUUUAUUUUUGAAAUCUUUGGUUUUACA